rnacentral:rRNA from 1 species
ACGAACGCUGGCGGCGUGCCUAAUACAUGCCAGUAGAACGCACAGUUUAUACCGUAGCUUGCUACACCCUAGACUGUGAGUUGCGAACGGGUGAGUAACGCGUAGGUAACCUGCCUGGUAGCGGGGGAUAACUAUUGGAAACGAUAGCUAAUACCGCAUAAUAUUAAUUAUUGCAUGAUAAUUAAUUGAAAGGUGCAAUUGCACCACUACCAGAUGGACCUGCGUUGUAUUAGCUAGUAGGUGAGGUAACGGCUCACCUAGGCGACGAUACAUAGCCGACCUGAGAGGGUGAUCGGCCACACUGGGACUGAGACACGGCCCAGACUCCUACGGGAGGCAGCAGUAGGGAAUCUUCGGCAAUGGACGAAAGUCUGACCGAGCAACGCCGCGUGAGUGAAGAAGGUUUUCGGAUCGUAAAGCUCUGUUGUAAGAGAAGAACGGGUGUGAGAGUGGAAAGUUCACACUGUGACGGUAUCUUACCAGAAAGGGACGGCUAACUACGUG